AGCCCCCCAGAAUUGAAAGGAGGAAGACUACCUCGUCGUGGGUGCAGAGAGCUGUUGCCGUUGGGUGGGUUGAUUUCGGGUUGGUCCGGUCUGCGUUGGAGUGGGUCAAAGGCCGAUCAUUGUUGUUGGUUUCAGUUGAGAUUGGGCACCAUGGGUCGUCAUUUUCGUGGGUUUUUCGUGUGGGUCUUCUUCGUCAGCAGCUUCAUUAGGUGUAAGAUCCAGUUUUUUCUUUUCUCAGUCUACAUUUCUUCAACCGUUUCUUCCUGUAUUGGAGUGUCCUUGCGUGAUUGCCACGUUUAAUGGCUUUUCAUAUUCGGCUUGAAAUUGCCCCUUGGAAGUUCAAAACCGCUCUGAGAAAAAAGAGGUCGAGGUAAAGCACAUUAUUUUCCUUUGCAACUUGAUCUUUUCUGUCAUUCUUGCUCUUUCAUUUUUCUCCAUCACACGCCUACAUUUUUUGUUUCAGGUAUUGAUGAACCCUUUAGGUGACUGGUUUUUUUUUUGGGAUUAUUGUUAUACUACAUUAUGGAUUUGUUAGCUCUGUCUUGCUCGAAACAGUUUAAAUUGCUUAAAAUAGAUAAGGUUUUGGUCUCUGAAUUGGGCAAUAUGUAAAAUACAAUGCUUUCUUUCCCUGUUCUAUUGUCUUUGUUUUCUCUUUUCGGUACCCUCACAGGUUUUGUUGCCAUCGUUUUUUGCACAUUUCCUUCAAAAUUAAAAGGAAUUUUGUUUCUUGAUUAGAGGAAGGUGUUAGGGACCCUUCUCUAUAUACCCUGCUUGUCUUCACAAGCUUGUAGGUCACAAAUUAAUUGACUACAAAUACUGAGGUUAUAUUGGGGUAAGGGUAAGCUUCUUUUUAUCAUUUUGGUCAUUGAUUUAUGCUUGCAAAAAAAUAAAAAGAUCAAUUAAGAUGAUGGAUACAUUGUUAUUGACUAAUAUUAUGUGCUUUAAGAACAGAAGGAUCUAAUGCCUCAUAUUUUCAACCUCAAAAUCUACUUGUUUUAUUGUCAACUCUUACUUCUCCCAUUAAAGCAUUGAAGCUUUUAAUAGUAGUGGAACCCUCCAAUCGCAUCCCAUGAUUGGUAGUCAAGACAGUAUAAAUUUUGACUGGAUGGCGCACAACCGGAGCUCUUUUGAUGUGAAC